CAGCCCGAGAGGACCGCCCACGCGAAGCGCUAUGGCGCGUGCUCCACCCCCGCGCGCCGCCGGCCCGCCCCAGAAAUCCCCGCGCGCGGUCGUUGACUUCAGGCUCGCGGUAGCUGUUCGUCCUCGCGUCCCCGGGCGUGAGAGAGAGAAAGCGCUGGACAAGUGGCGGGACUCGGCCUCGGUGCAGAUAUAAGGAGAAGUCAGCAGUCUACAAAUCAGAAAACUUUCCUUACCAGAACUCAACCGUACUGGCACCCUGCUCUUGAACUUCCAGUCUCCAGAACUUUUGUGAAGCACUGCUGUAUACAUCAUUCUACUGAAUGAAGACCUGAAUGCCUCAGACACUUCUAGCACCAAGCUUCAUGAUCUUUAAGGUCUUGGAUGAACUGGUAUAGUGAAAAGAAAAUAAGGUAACCUUGGACUUCACUAGGUCAUAAUUUCUGUGUUAUGCAAUGAAGUAAUUCACUGCAUUGGUCUAGCUCUCGGGGUGAUCAAGAGGGCAGGUUAAUAAAUCUUCCCGGCAGGGAGAGGAAAAUAUUAGGUGUUUUAAUGUCUAUUCUUUUGCAAAAUUAAUCAGUUACUUGCUAUUUCCUUAAAUAAAUUAUUUUUCAGAAUACUUAUAGCCAAAGUUUUGUAAGUCCAAUCACGGACACUAGAUGGCACCAUAAGAACCUCACCUGCACCAAUUCCUGACAGUCCAACAGCUCUUUCUCACAAUUUACAGCCUGAAGAUUUUUAACAUAGAGUCUGGGGUGAAAAAAACUUUGAGAAAAGUUCUUUCAUUUCUAUGUAGAGACUAUAAGUUUUCUUUCUAAGAGGUUGAUCUCCUACUGUGAAUAGUACGCAGAGGAUCAAGACUCUCAUGGGAAACUACAGACAGCGUGGAUCAAGUCAGGAGACGUGGUCUGCGUCCCAGGGCCGAUGCUUCGCAGCUGGUUUUCGCGGAGAAAGUCUAUUUCCUGCCCCGUAUGCAUCUCAUGGGAUUGCUGGGAGGACCAUACAGAGUCACGGAAGAGAACUGCCACGUGCUACAGUUAAAAACCAAGGUUCUUUCUACCUCUGCAGCCCCUCUUCCCGGGAGGCUCCUGCCUUGCACCAGCUCCGGGCCUCUGCUACCCGGGCCCCUGCCUGCUCUGUUUUCAACCACAAGCUCACUCCUCAAGCAUCUGUAAAGGACUCUGACAUCAGAUCUGUUUUUCAACUUUCACUCAAGCAGCUGGAACUCAUGCUUCUUCAUGUCCUCCACACCAGUGGUGUUCAGCUUCUCUUCAGUAGUCCUUUGGCUACUCGUCAUCACCUGGACGUGAACCCCGUAAAACCGUCAGCUUCACCUCCCAUUGUUCCACAAGUCAUCCCUCCUUUCCCCUCCCCACCUGCUCAUCCCUUUCACUGUGAUUCCAGCUCCUCCGCGUCUUCCUUCUCUCCCUGUUCAUCAGUCCCUGCUUCUCUGCGCAUAGAGCCCCUCUUUCUCUUCUCGCCUAGGCUCUUUACUCUCCCACCAGCACCUACGCCUCCCUCCCUCACCCCAGUCCUCCGAGGCCUCCAGCCCUCAGGCCGCCACGGGACCAGUGCAGCCCUUGGUUUGAGGCAGGGCAGAGCGCCAAGUGGAAGAGCACAGGCGUAGAAUUGUUUUAUUGCUCUGACAGUAAACAGCUGUGUAAGUAACUCUGCCCACAUUACUCAUCCCUCUGAGCAUCAGCGGUGGGUAUUUUCGGGGGAUGAAGACAUCUCCCCACAGGAGAAUUAAGGGAGUUAGUAGGUAAGAAGAGAUGUUCUAAAACAUAUUUUUAUGCCUUUACCUUUUCUCUCUUCCACAUAUGUGACCUCCCCCUGCGAUCCAGAGGUCCUUCUCUGGAGGGCAAGUGGAUGAAUAGGUAGGCUAGGAUUAUUAGAGUAAAACGCAAAUGAGAGGCAGGUUGUAGUUUACUUCUAAAACAGGUAACUGAGAUAUAAAACUAAAGGCCUGAAGAAAGUAGGGCCUAGAGAUUAUGCCAAAGUAUACUUUGGAAACAAAACAGGGGAGAACUAGGUAUACCUGCCUUCCGUUCCCCACCACAACCAGAUCAUGGGGACCACGGAGGAGGAGCCUCAAAGGAAACGGGCAGGGAGGGCGGAGGAGCUGGGUUGUCCCUGUAUGGUCAGCCCCCCACGAUGGCGGCUCCCUUGCUCGCUGUGCGUCCCCUGCCUGACCAGUCUCUGCCUCACCUGCCCCUACUCACCUGACUGACCUUCCCUCCUCAGUGCAUGGCUGCAUGCUCGCCCCGGCCCAGCUGCGGAUCGCUCAUUAGAUCAGAACAUCCGCACCUUGCUGGCUCAUCAAAGGGGCGGUGAGGGGCAGGCUCCCAUGCUGGUUUCCCUGGUAACCGAUGAGCCACGCUGACGUCAAUUCCCCCUGUAACUGGUAACCUCCCUCUCCCGUGGUAGUGAAGAUGGCCGCUGUCUGCCCCACAGGGUGGGGAGUCACGCCCGGACCUCGCUUCCCACAGGUAAGAUCCUCCUAUCCAUGAACACCAUUGAUGUCUCCGUCACUGAUUCUGGGGUCCUUCUACUGUCUUCAAGCUGGGCAAACGCUGGGCUUACAGGCCUGCGGGGUGCAGCCCAACAGUCCCUUUUCAAGAGUCCUACACUCACCUAAUCAUGAAACCUAGGUGGGUCCCUUAACCCCCAGAAGCAGGGAUGUGGAAAGAAAAUCCACAGCAUAUAUAUAGUCAUUUAGCCCUCAAAACAACUCCACAAAACCACUGUUACCCACAUAAAACAACACCACAAGACUAUUAUUGGCCCCAUUUUACAGAAUAGGAAAGUGACAGGAUUUUGACUCAGGCCAGCUGACUUCAAAGGCCGUGCUCUUAACCAUCACCCUACACAGCCUUUCAGUAAACAUCAGUUCCCUACACCCACCCCAACCCCACCUCUACUCAAUGCCAGGGUUAGGAAGCUGAGUUAGGAAAGGUAGGCUGCCGUGUGUUUCAUGCUGUUACUGUUUAAGGUCUAAACUCAGCUGGGCCUUCGGUUCUGCUUCAUCUCCUGUUGUUUGUGCUUCGUCGGCUCCCUUCACCAGGCCCUGCAAUGGGCCUAAACCCUCCACCUUCCCUACCCCGCUCACCUCUAGCAGUAAACUCACCUGUGAUUCAUAGACAAAAUCAGUGCCGUUAGGGGUGGACUCUUGCAGCUUCCCUCCUUCCCUCAACUAACUUAUCUUCAACGGAAGCCUCUCCUCCUAUCCAACCAGUUUUCGAAGGAGAGGUUCCUCUCUCUCUCCUCUUUCAGACCGCUCCCUCCUUUGCUCUUGCACCUCCUCCAGGAGUUCUCUCAGGUGUCUCUUUUUCCAGUAUGUUCAACCUUCCCCCUCUCUGCUGGGUCCUUUCAGCAUAUAAACAAGGUAAGGUCUUUCCUCUCCUUCAUGUCAUUUCCAUCCAUAAUUGUCCUAGAUGUCAGAAAUUUCCAAGCACCAGUCCCUGAACUCUUCCUAAGUAGUGAUGAAAUCUCACUAAUUCAUGAUAAAAAGUUGAGCAAAUAAGGAUAAUAUAGGGAGUUUCUCAUUAAACUAAAGUAAUUCAAUUUAAAUGAUUUUCUUUUGUUCUGAAAUUAUGACUUUUUUUUAAAUGUUCUGUUAUUCUUUGUAUAGGAGGCCCUCUGCAUCUGUGGGUUCCAUAUCCUCAGAUACAGAAGGCCGACUGUACCACACCAUUUAAUACAAGGGACUUGAGCACCCGUAGAGUUUGAUAUCCUUUGGGGGUCCUGGAACAGAUUCCCCCAAGGAUCCCCAGGGAUGACUGUAUGCCACCUAUCAGAAGUGUGAAGACUUCACUUGAGCAAUGAACAACCCUCUUUGCUGUAAGACGUUGAGAUUUGGGGCCUCUUUUUUACUGUGCAUAACCUAGCCAAGAAGUCCUCAAACUCUUUGGUCUCUGAACAUCUCUACACUCUUUACACUCUUAAAAACUAUUAAGGACCUGUAUUGACUGUGUUUCCUUACUUUCUGUCUUCUCAAUGCUCUGGCAGCUGGGACCUUGCUAGUGCAGGAGAGACUGCUCCUUUGAGGACUAGCUAAUUCCUAGAGAUGACAAACUCCUCCCUUGUGAAUAUACCUUUCAUGUGCAAGCUAACCAAUCCAAAACCAUACCCCUCCGCCCCCAUAACCACCCCCUUUACACAGCUCUCGCAGGGCUCUUAUACUUUGGGCCAAUACAGUGAUAUGUUGUUUUACUGCACUUCACAGAUACUGCAUUUUUUACAGAUUGAAGGCUUGUGACAAACCUGCAUUGAGCAAGUCUAUUGGUACCAUUUUUCCAGCAGCAGUAGUUUUUAA